rnacentral:rRNA from 1 species
ACCUGCGGAGGGAUCAUUACCGAGUUAUCAACUCCCAAACCCCUGUGAACAUACCUGAACGUUGCUUCGGCGGGACCGCCCCGGCGCCCAUCAGCGGCCCGGAACCAGGCGCCCGCCGGAGGACCCAAAACUCUUGUUUAAUUUAGUGGCAUAUUCUGAGUCUAAAAACAAAAUAAAUUAAAACUUUCAACAACGGAUCUCUUGGCUCUGGCAUCGAUGAAGAACGCAGCGAAAUGCGAUAAGUAAUGUGAAUUGCAGAAUUCAGUGAAUCAUCGAAUCUUUGAACGCACAUUGCGCCCGCCAGUAUUCUGGCGGGCAUGCCUGUUCGAGCGUCAUUUCAACCCUCAAGCCCCAGCGGCUUGGUGUUGGGGACCGGCCGCAAGGCCGCCCCCUAAAUGCAGUGGCGACCUCGCCGCAGCCUCCCCUGCGUAGUAGCACAACCUCGCACCGGAGCGCGGAGACGGUCACGCCGUAAAACGCCCAACUUUCUUAGAGUUGACCUCGGAUCAGGUAGGAAUACCCGCUGAACUUAAGCAUAUCAAUAGACCGGGAGGAA